AUUGAACGCUGGCGGCAGGCCUAACACAUGCAAGUCGAGCGAGCGGCGGACGGGUGAGUAAUGUCUGGGAAACUGCCCGAUGGAUGGGGAUAACUCCUGGAACCGGUAGCUAAUACCGCAUACCAUCCGAUGCGCCCAGAUGGGAUUAGCUAGUAGGUGGGGUAAAGGCUCACCUAGGCGACGAUCCCUAGCUGGUCUGAGAGGAUGAACAGCCACACUGGGACUGAGACACGGUCCAGACUCCUACGGGAGGCAGCAGUGGGGAAUAUUGCACAAUGGGCGCAAGCCUGAUGCAGCCAUGCCGCGUGUGUGAAGAAGGCCUUAGGGUUGUAAAGCACUUUCAGCGGGGAGGCGUUACUCGCAGAAGAAGCACCGGCUAACUCCGUGCCAGCAGCCGCGGUAAUAC
rnacentral:rRNA from 1 species